UACGUAGGGUGCAAGCGUUAAUCGGAAUUACUGGGCGUAAAGCGUGCGCAGGCGGUUGUGCAAGACAGAUGUGAAAUCCCCGGGCUUAACCUGGGAACUGCAUUUGUGACUGCACGGCUAGAGUGCGGCAGAGGGGAAUGGAAUUCCGCGUGUAGCAGUGAAAUGCGUAGAUAUGCGGAGGAACACCGAUGGCGAAGGCAAUCCCCUGGGCCUGCACUGACGCUCAUGCACGAAAGCGUGGGGAGCGAACAGG
rnacentral:rRNA from 1 species